UACGGAGGGUGCAAGCGUUGUCCGGAUUUAUUGGGUUUAAAGGGUGCGUAGGUGGCGUCUCAAGUCUGGUUUGAAAGAUAGCUGCUCAACAGUUAGACGGGGCUGGAAACUGGGAUUCUGGAAUGGGUUGGCGGCUGCCGGAACGGGUCAUGUAGCGGUGAAAUGCAUAGAUAUGACCCAGAACACCGAUUGCGAAGGCAGGCAGCUACGACCUGAUUGACACUGAGGCACGAGAGCAUGGGUAGCGAACAGG
rnacentral:rRNA from 1 species